GAUGAAGAACGUAGCAAAAUGCGAUAAGUAAUGUGAAUUGCAGAAUUCAGUGAAUCAUCGAAUCUUUGAACGCACAUUGCGCCCGCCAGUAUUCUGGCGGGCAUGCCUGUUCGAGCGUCAUUUCAACCCUCAAGCACAGCUUGGUGUUGGGACUCGCGUUAAUUCGCGUUCCCCAAAUUGAUUGGCGGUCACGUCGAGCUUCCAUAGCGUGGUAGUAAAACCCUCGUUACUGGUAAUCGUCGCGGCCACGCCGUUAAACCCCAACUUCUGAAUGUUGACCUCGGAUCAGGUAGGAAUACCCGCUGAACUUAAGCAUAUCAAUAAGCGGAGGA
rnacentral:misc_RNA from 1 species